rnacentral:rRNA from 1 species
UUGGCUUAGAAGCAGCCACUCAUUCAAAGAGUGCGUAAUAGCUCACUGGUCGAGUGAUCCUGCGCCGAAGAGUUCCGGGGCUAAAACUUACUACCGAAGCUACGGCAUCAGUAAUGAAGGGUAGGGGAGCUUCCCAUACGGGUUGAAGCAUGACCGUAAGGACAUGUGGACAGUAUGGGAGUGAGAAUGUUGGCAGGAGUAGCGAGAUGUGGGUGAGAAUCCCACAGGACGUAAACCCAAGGUUUCCAGGGGAAGGUUCGGCCGCCCUGGGUUAGUCGGGACCUAAGCUGCGGCCGAAAGGCGGAGGGGAUGGACCACAGGUUGAUACUACUGUACUACCAAUAACCGUUGGAGAUAGGGGACGACACAGGAGGAUCAGCACAGCACCCCGUUGGUUAGGUGAGCCACAGCCUUGAGGCAGG